ACUCCUACGGGAGGCAGCAGUGGGGAAUUUUGCGCAAUGGGGGAAACCCUGACGCAGCAACGCCGCGUGAGUGAUGAAGGCCCUUGGGUCGUAAAGCUCUGACAGAGGGAAAGAAGUGUAGAGUGGCUAAUAUCCACAUUACUUGACGGUACCCUCAAAGGAAGCACCGGCUAACUUCGUGCCAGCAGCCGCGGUAAUACGGGGGGUGCAAGCGUUGUUCGGAAUUAUUGGGCGUAAAGCGCGUGUAGGCGGUUUGUUAAGUCUGUUGUGAAAGCCCUGGGCUCAACCCAGGAAGUGCACUGGAUACUGGCAGACUUGAAUACGGGAGAGGGUAGUGGAAUUCCUGGUGUAGGAGUGAAAUCCGUAGAUAUCAGGAGGAACACCGGUGGCGAAGGCGGCUACCUGGACCGAUAUUGACGCUGAGACGCGAAAGCGUGGGUAGCAAACAGGAUUAGAUACCCUGGUAGUCCACGCCGUAAACGAUGAGAACUAGGUGUCGCGGGUA
rnacentral:rRNA from 1 species